GCUGGGCGCAGUGGUGCACGCCUGUAAUCCCAGUGGGUCAGGAGGCUGAGGCAGGAGGAUCACAAGUUCAGCACCAGCCUCAAGAAUGGUAAGGCUUGCUAAGCAAACUCAGUGAGAUUCUGUCUCUA
rnacentral:sRNA from 1 species